rnacentral:rRNA from 1 species
UGGGGAAUUGUUCGCAAUGGGCGCAAGCCUGACGACGCAACGCCGCGUGGAGGAUGAAGAUUUUCGGAUCGUAAACUCCUGUCGAAUGGGACGAACAGAUUGCGGGUUAACAGCCCGUAGUCCUGACGGUACCGUUAAAGGAAACCCCGGCUAACUCCGUGCCAGCAGCCGCGGUAAUACGGGGGGGGUAAGCGUUGUUCGGAAUUACUGGGCGUAAAGGGCUCGUAGGCGGCCAACUAAGUCAUACGUGAAAUCCCUCAGCUUAACUGGGGAAACGGGUGGGGAAAUGGAUUGGUUUGAAUUGGGAGAGGGAUGCGGAAUUCCAGGUGUAGCGGUGAAAUGCGUAGAUAUCUGGAGGAACACCGGUGGCGAAGGCGGCAUCCUGGACCAAUAUUGACGCUGAGGAGCGAAAGCCAGGGGAGCAAACGGG